GGAUCUCUGGUUCUGGCAUCGAUGAAGAACGCAGCGAAAUGCGAUAAGUAAUGUGAAUUGCAGAAUUCAGUGAAUCAUCGAAUCUUUGAACGCACAUUGCGCUCCCUGGUAUUCCGGGGAGCAUGCCUGUUCGAGCGUCAUUAUCAACCCUCAAGCUCUGCUUGGCAUUGGGACUUGUCCCUCGUGGACAGCCCCUAAUUAUGUCGGCGGCGGUAUUGAACCUAAAGCGUAGUAGAAUACACUUCCUAGGUUGAGCAUCGCCUGCCUUGCAAAUUUUACUUUAAAGGUUGACCUCGGAUCAGGUAGGGAUACCCGCUGAACUUAAGCAUAUCACUAAGCGGAGGAAGUUCCGUAGGUGAACCUGCGGAGGAGCAUAUCAAUAAGGGAGGA
rnacentral:rRNA from 1 species